UACGUACUGGGCGAACGUUAUUCGGAAUCACUGGGCUUAAAGGGUGCGUAGGCGGCUUCUCAGGUCCGGUGUGAAAUCUUACGGCUCAACCGUAAAAUGGCGCUGGAAACCGGGAGGCUUGAGUGUGCUAGGGGUGUGUGGAACUUCCAGUGGAGCGGUGAAAUGUGUUGAUAUUGGAAGGAACGCCGGUGGCGAAAGCGACACACUGGGGCAUAACUGACGCUGAGGCACGAAAGCUAGGGGAGCGAACGGG
rnacentral:rRNA from 1 species